CAAAAUUACUCAAAUUCGUUCCACAUAUCAUCGAAAUCAAAUCGUCUAGCACAUAACCAUAACAUCAACUAGAUCAAACAAUCGUAAUCACUCCACGCAUAAUCACACUCAAUUCACCAAAUCAAGAUAAAGAAAAAAGAAAGGAUUAAGGAAAUGGACCUCAAUAGAACUUGUUUUUGUUGAUAAUAAAAAAAAUCCAACACCUAAAUCCUCGAACGGAGACACCAACAACGAGCCAAGCUCCAACUCAUAAAUAUUGAACCCACUAGAUUGCGAGAUACCCCUAAAGUACGAUAUUGAAUAACCAAUCAUGAAACAGACGAACCCAAAGCUCUCCAAAUCCGGUGAAGAACUAAAAAAAAAACUAUAGGAACUAAACUCCGGUGAGUUGACAGUGAUCAAAACCAAUGAGAAGGGUCAGAUUUCGGUGAACACGUCGUUUUUCCAUCCAAAUCUAAGGAAACUGACGAGAUCUCUGGAUUUUGGGAAUGAAAUGAGUAGACGAUGACCUAUAAACUAAUUCCGGCGAAAGGUUCGCCGAAAAAACUUAAGAAAACGACAGAUCUCGCACCAUCUUCGCUGUUUCUUGCCGAAUUUCCGUCAAAACACUCCUAUAUCGCUAUUCUUUUCCCAAAUCCCUAUCAAUCGCCCUCUAUUAUCUCAUUUUUCUUAUUAGGUGUGUGUGUUCGUAUGUUUUUUUUGUGAGAGAAUGUGUUUCUGGUGAGAGGGUAUGUUUUUCGGCAUACUGAGAGUAUGCGAGUGUAUUUUUUGUCGAGAAAAAGAUGAUUGAGAGAUCUCCCUCCUCUCUUUCUCUUUAUUCGUGUAUGUGUUGUAUUGAUAGAAAAAUGGAGAAGAAGCAUGAAUCGUCUAUGUUAUUCUUGUUCCCUAUGUGUGUAUGUAUAUAAUAAAAAAAGAAUCCCCCCCCCUCCCCCGCUCCUUUGAAUUAUAUAUAGGGUGUAUGUAUAUGUCUUUUCUGUUUAUCCUUGUGGACCCCUCCUUUUGUUUCCUUUUAGAAAGUUUGUUAGAAAGAAAAAUAAAUGUGGGGUAGGGGGUAAGGUCACAUGGGUAGGUGGGAUGAGGGGUUGUAGAGAUAGGUGAUUAGGAUAAAGUUUGUUAGGAUAGAAUCAAAACAAGAUAAAAUUUGUUAAGGGUUGUUAUUUUUUUCAUUUUAUGGAGGGUAUAAUCAUGUGGGUGAGAGUGCGUGGUAAUGUGAGAUAAAAAAGAAUAAAAUUGGAAAUGGGAGGGACAAAAUUAGGUGUCUACAGCAUGCCCCCUUUGAAUGUAAACAUGAAAUGUUUUCAGACAAAGAAGUGGAGAACAAGAUAGAAUUCUGUCCCGGCCAUUAUUAAAAGAAUGAAACAGAAGGAAGGAGGGACACCAAGUCUUGACUUAGGACAUCCUACCUACCCAAGUUAUGAGGGAAUCAAGUCCCGGGUAUCUCAAAGGAUUGGAAAGAGAAGGACAAUAUCGAUUUGGAGAGUCGAGUGAGGUCCCGUCGAGGUUUCGGUCUACGGCUCUGUUAUUACAUCAAAAAUGAAAAUUACAAGUUAAAACAUAAAUGAAAUUACAAAAAUUCUAAUCUAUGCAGCUUUCCUUGACUUGAGUUUCUUCACCCUAUUCUUCAGGCGGGCUCCUGACUUGCACUUUCUUCAACUUGUAGCUUGCCUUUCAAUCUCUUCACCCUGUUCUCCAGGUGGGUUCCUGACUUGCUAUUUCAUCAACUUGUUGCUAUGCUUUCCAAUUUCUACGCCCUUUUCUCCGGACGGAUUCCUGACUUGCUAUUUCAUCAACUUGUUGCUAUGCUUUCCAAUUUCUACGCCCUUUUCUCCGGACGGAUUCCUGACUUGCUAUUUCAUCAACUUGUUGCUAUGCUUUCCAAUUUCUACGCCCUUUUCUCCGGACGGAUUCCUGACUUGCUAUUUCAUCAACUUGUUGAUAUGCUUUCAAUUUUUUUUCACCCUGUUCUACAGGCAGACUCCUGACUUGGUAUUUUUCAAUCUAUUUAACUUUUAAUUUCUUCACCUUGUUGCUUGGUUUUCCAUUUAUGCGCCCUGUGCUUCGGUCAUGCUCCUAAAAUCAUAUCAAAACUGAAAAGAAAAUUAUCCCAAAUAAAGAAAUGUAUUUUCUAUGAGUUAAUUGGAAUGACUCGACUAAAAGGUAUGUCUGUUAGGAAUCAAGGGAGAUGACUCGCCUAAAGGGUACGUCUUAUAGAAAUCCAGGGGGAUGACUCGACUGAAAGGUACGUCUUAUAGGAAUCAAAGGGAAUGACUCGACUAAAAGGUAUGUCUUCUAGGAAUCAAGGGAAAUGACUCGACUAAAAGGUACGUCUUCUAGGGGUCAAAGGGGAUGACUCGACUAAAAGGUAUGUCUUAUAGGAAUCAAAUGGGAUGACUCGACUAAAAGGUACGUUUUAUAGGAAUCAAUGGAAAUGACUCGACUAAAAGGUACGUCUUUUAGGGGUCAAAGGGGAUGACUCGACUAAAAGGUACAUCUUAUAGGAAUCAAAGGGGAUGACUCGACUAAAAGGUACAUCUUAUAGGAAUCAAAGGGGAUGACUCGACUAAAAGGUACGUCUUCUAGGAAUCAAAGGGAAUGACUCGACUAAAAGGUACGUCUUAUAGGAAUCAGAGGAAAUGACUCGACUAAAAGGUACGUCUUCUAGGGGCCAAAGGGAAUGGCUCAACUAAAAGGUACGUCUUAUAGGAAUCAAAGGGGAUGACUCGGCUAAAAUGUACGUCUUCUAGGAGUCAAGGUGAAUGACUCGACUAAAAGGUACGUCUUCUAGGAAUCAAGACUUAAGUUAGGAAGUUCAUUACCAAAGAAGAAAAAUUCAAAUUACCUAAUCAAGGAAGUGUGCUUCCUUACCAAUGUUGUUUGAAUUAUCAAAACAAUGAAGUGUGUCUCCUUACCAAAGCUGCUUGAAUUACUAAAACAAGGAAGUGUGUCUCCUAGAGAUCUUGAAUUAUGAGUUUUACCGUGAUUUUGAUUACCAAACCUGUGCAGCAACCUUGCCUCUUACAUUUCUUGAGGUGAUAAAUUAUGGCCUUUGAUGUUUAGGCUCUGAAAUCCUUGAUCUGAAUGCAACAUGUAUUUCUAUUACAUACAAAGAAAACUUGUGAGUUUAAAAACAUGGUGGCUAGUUUUUGGCUUUGGCUUUUGAGGCAAUUGCUCCUACCCCCAUCACAUUUAGCUUUGCUUCCAACCAUUAGCAUAUAUCAUUGACUUAUUGUAUCAUUGACCAAACUCAGUUUAUUAAGAGUGACUCUGAAACAAACACAGUAUUUCUGCUUUGUCGUGUUUAUCAAAUAAACCCUUUGAACCUUGGUAUUUCCAUGAGUUCCCCGACUUCUCUGUUGACAACACUUCCUGCAUGCCUUUUUUGGGCUCACAAUCAUGUCUCUUUCAUAUGCUAGAUUUUGUCUUGUUUUGUGCAAUUAAAGAAGCUGGUAGCCAGUUUUAAAUCUUUUCUCACUUGUGUUGACACGGACUUGACUCAAAGACAAGAAAUGAAAAAAAGAAUGACAAUUUUUGUUUUGAUAACUGACUCAAGAAAGAUAAAAUUAAAAUAAAGAAAAGAAAGAAAAAACAAAGAAUGUCUCCUUUUAAAACAAAGAAACGAAAAAUUCAUCUAAAAAUGGCAGUCAACACUAAUGAUUAUGCCAUGCAUUUUGGAUUAAGCAGCUUGAUCUUUUCAUCCAAACUUUCUACCCAUUGUUGUUGAGUUAAUGGCCUUGAAACUGAGUUUCUUUCUUAGGUCAAUUGCAUUUAAGACCCAUUGGGCUAGUGGCUCCUUAAAGGGUUUUUUCCAACAAGCUUCUUUUAUUUUCUCUUGGCUCACUAUCGUCUUAUGGUGCCCGUGAGGGUUUUUACCAAUAAGACUCUCUCAUUUUUAUUUCUCUUAACUUACCAUCGUCUUAUGGUUCCCGUAAGGGUUUUCACCAAUAAGACUCUCAUUUUUAUUUCUCUCUUAAUUCCGAAGACAAAUUGUUCCCAAAUUCAUCAUCAUAUCCCUUGCAUGCUCAGCCUUAACAUCCUCAAAGAUUGAUCUGAAGGUCUUUCUUUGGUUGUGACUUGGCUUUUGGAUAAGGUUAGAAAGAAAGGAUGGCAUGGGGUCCAAACGACACUUGAAGUUGGGUAGGACUUACAACUUUUGGAAUCGACUCAAACAAUGAGGAUUAACUCAUGCCCCAGAUUCUUUUGACUGGGUGACUCUAAAUUAUUUAUUUGGUUGGACCAAGCCCUGAUUAGGGCAGCCUACGUAUCUCACCCUCUAGAGAGGAGAAUCAGGUCAUGCGUAAUUCUGGCAGCUUAUUCUUUCACUUGAUUUUAUUUUUUUCUUUUGUUGACUCUUUUGUCUUUGGGACUUUUCUGACUUUAUUUUUCUUGACACUCAUCUUUUCUUUCUUUUUUGACAUAUUUUUUUGAAUUUUGUUUACUCUUAUCUUGAUUCCAAAAGAGGGGUAUGAAAGAAAAUAACACUAAGGCCCAAAUGGGGGUAAACAAAGGAUGACAUAGUGUUUGGAUAGCAGAAUAAAAUGCCGUCAUCAUAUCAAUUCUUGAAAAUGCUAGUACAUAGCAUGCAAUGCGAAAGUGCACGAUCAAGAUCACUUAUGAAAUGUUUUGCAACACUAACUUUCCCCGAGCAUGUGUGCCACCUCUUUUUCUACACUUUCCCAGCAUACAACUCCACUUUCUUGUACAUUCCUCAUGCUGAAGGACUCAUGACUUCGUGGAGCUAAUUUUCUUCCUGUUCCUCUUGAUANNNNNNNNNNNNNNNNNNNNNNNNNNNNNNNNNNNNNNNNNNNNNNNNNNNNNNNNNNNNNNNNNNNNNNNNNNNNNNNNNNNNUCAUAUCACUAGAAUCAACAUAAAGUGACUGUAUAAAGAAAACAAACAACACAUAUUUGAAACACAAACUGAAAAGGACACUUCAUUUAGUUGAAAUAAAAGAUAAAAGGGUUUGAACAUAAAUAACAAAGGGACAAAACAAGAUAGAUCCCGAACUACAACCCUGAAAUAAUUCGAAAAAAAGAAUAGAAAACAAAACAAAGUAGCAGACCUCUUCCUAGUAGGGAGAGGGGUGACUUUUCAAUUGCUUAGCCUGACAUAUUAGCCACUGGUUUGCAUAUCAACAUAACUAGAGCUUCCACCACUGUCAGACACAUUUCCUUCAACAAAUAAGCUCUGGAUCCCCAUGCCUAACUCAUUGUCUCCCACAUAUUGUGCAGUACCGCGUGCUGGUGAAGAACUCUGUGGGAUGGUCGAAGGGCCAAUGUUUUGCACCACAAUCAAUUUAUCUUGAAUUAUCUUUUCUAUUUCUCUUUUCAAAGUGUGACAAUCUUCAGUACUAUGACCCUGAACAUCAGAAUAAUAUGCAUAUCGCACAUUAGGAUCAAAGUUUCUUGAAUGCGGGUCAGGAGUAUACCCUAGGAGAGGAGUGAUCAUGCUCUACUGUACCAAUCUCUGGAAAAAACUGGCAUAGGAUUCCCCAAUAGGAGUGAAAUUAUCUUUUUCCUUCCUCCUCUUUGCGAACUCUAUCCUCGAAUGAAAUUUGGAUUUAGAGGUCCCUUGGUAAAUUUGUGGGGGUCGAGGACGAUGUUGAGGGACAGAUGCAUGCCAUUGUGGAUAAGAAGAUGGAUGAGCAUACAAUUGUGCAUUGUUCACAGGAUAUCUAGGAAUUGGAAUGGGAAUUCUUGGAUUUCACAGAAAGAAACCUUGUUGCAAGUGGUUAUGUGGAUCUGAUAUGUAAGCUAGGGAUUGAGGCUGACAGUAUUGGUGGGUUGGACCACUCAAACUCUGCUUUGGCCCUGUUAUGAUAAUAGGUGAGUUUUCCUUCUUCUUUCCUUCAGUUUCCCUUGGUUGAUUGCAAUGUCGUCCCCAAUGUUUCACAGAAUCCUUCUGUCCAUCAGGCUCCCUAAAUUUUGAUGUCUCAAAGUUGGGAGGAAGGUUAACACUUGAAGACAUGACCCAUUUUUUAUAUGAAACAUCUUCAUAGUCCAUAAGUCCAGGGGAAUUUUUCAUAUCAUUUUCUACACUCUUCACUUUCCCAACCAUUUUCUCUGGCUCUUUUGGCAUGCUAGGCUUCUUAGCAAGAAAUUUUGGCGGUUCACUUAACUUAACUGUAGGCUCAAGAGUAUACCAAUGAUCAUCAACAGUAUUGAACUCGGAGUCACUAGUGGACUGGGGAAGCACAAUCGUUGGAUUGAUAGACAAAGUAUAAGCCUUAGUAGAAGGUUGAGCAACAAAGCACAGACGGUAUGUGGUGCUGUGAAUGUGGUAGACUUAUACUGAGGAGAUAAAGAAAGAGUGGUAGAAGUGUUGAGGUGCAUCUGACGUGGAAUGGAUUCUGAGGCAUGUUGUGGUGCAUCAACAACAGUAGGAAACUGACUUUACGAUUUUGGUGGAAGACUCAAGGUAUUUGCAAGGUCAAAGUAGGGAAGGGAGGUGGAGGCAACCCACUAGCCCAAGCUCGAUACUUUCCCAUCAUUUGUUGUCUCAGUCUCAAAUUCUCUUCCUUUAAACUCUCAAUUUCCUGACUCUUUGUUUCAUCCAUGAUGCCACUCUCUAUAUCCUUGUUGGACACAACUAACCCUUCCUUGGAUUUGGUGUGAUAUGGAGGACCAGCCAGGAAACCACAAACCAACCACCUUAAACUAACUGAACAAGAGGCAACAAAUAUGUUAGAGUUCAACAUUUUUCAAAACCUCUUUUUUUUUUCUUGAAAAAAAAUCACCAAACCCUAGAAGGGCGCCUAAGUAUCUCAUCCUUGAAAGGGGAGAAUCAGGUGUGCGUAGUUCGUGAAGUCAUGCCAAAGAGGCCAAUUGAACUCUUUUUCUUUUUUUUUCUUCGAAACUUUAAGAAGAAAAGAAAAUAACAAUUUUUCAAAAGAAUUGAUGAAAAUGUUUUUGAAUUUUUCAGCUUUAACAUCCCUAUACAAAGUGAAAUCUAUGAUUACCAAAGAAAAUCUUUUUGGGUUUUCAGUUUUAAAUUUCAUAUGAAAAUGGAACUUGAACCUAUUAAAGAAAAAUCUUUUGUAGUUUUCUUUUAAAGAUAUAUAUGAAAAACCUACUCUAAAUGAAGAGUGAAUAAAAUCUUUUUGAAUUUUUGAAAUAAGAUCAACCAAAAAUGAAAUCUACGACUAUUGAGAAAAAUCUUUUUGUUUUUGUAUUUUUCUUUUCAAUACAUGUAUGAAACACCAACUCUAAAUGAAGAGUGAAAAAAAAUCUUUUUAAAUUUUUUUUUAAAUAAGAUCAACCAAAAAUGAAACCUACAACUAUUGAGAAAAAUCUGUUUUUGUCUUUGUAUUUUUCUUUUCAAUACAUGUAUGAAACACCUACUCUAAAUAAAUAGUGAAAAAAAUCUUUUUUAAUUUUUUUUUUAAUAAGAUCCCCGAACCAACAAUAGGCUACCUACGUAUCUCACAUCCCGAAAGAGAAGAAUCAGGGGUGCGUAGUUCAUCCAGAUUGGACAAUUAAUUAUUAAAUAACGGGCUAGACCCUGACUUAAGAGACACGACCAAAGAUAGACGAUGAACCAUGUUAAUAAAAUCUUUUGAGUUUUCAUUUUGAUACUUCAUAGAAAAAUGACAUCAACAACUAUGAAAGAAAAAUCUUUUUGGUAUUUUCAUUAUACGAAAUGUAAAAAAUUUCUAACAACUUUUUUUUUUUUUGCAUUUUUCUUUUAUAAACACAUCCUAUGAAUGAAAAAAAAAAGUCUUUUUGAAUUUUUUGAAUUGUAAAUGCAUGCUAAACGAGACAAAGGAAAAUCUUUUUGAUAUUUUUGAGAAAAUGAGUGCGAAAGGUAAAAAAAGUCUUUUUGAAUUUUGGAAUUGUGAGAAAUAAAAGCCAUAAAAAACUCUAAAAACUACGAAACUCUUUUUGAUUCAUUCUUUUCGACUCACUUUUUCUAUAUUUUCUUUUCUUCUUUUUUUUCUUUUUACUUUUUUUUUCUUUUUCGUUUUUUUGCCUAUGCACUUUGCUUCUAACUCAUGUUUUUGCCCAAACUAGUCGGUCAAAUAACCUCGUUACCCUCAAAGAUGCAACAUUUAGCACGUAGGGAUACCUUAGAGGUGAGUCUCCUACAAAGGGCCAAGUGGGCCCUGCUAGGUCUUCAAUAUGAUGCACAUAAGCAUGACCUAAAGGCAGACCUACGUUGGGGUUCACUAACAAGGUUGUUCGGGGAGCAUAUGGUCGAUAGUGGCUGCUUAGCUUUCCACCUACUCCAUACAUCCAACGGCUCCCCCCCUAAAAUAAAGGUGACUCAACUAGAGUUUGUGCACAUGACGUGCGCUCCGAGACUUAUUGCGGAAAGAAUGACUCAGGUUAUUCACAUGAUGUCAAAUUUAAAGCCGGUAACACAUACGAUAAAUACUGUAACAAAGAGCACGAAAAUACACAAAAGUGAAAACACAAAUAAAAUCACAAACAAUGCUUAUACACUCGUAAUGCCAAACAAAGCCGAUACGACUCCAAAAAAAAAGCUCGGAUUCUGAAAUUCUCCCCAGCAGAGUCAUCAGAGCUGUCACACCCCAUUUUCGUACUCCAAAAGAUUAUGUUUUAAGGAUUGAAAGGGUUUUAAUUACUAAAGUGACAAAAGAUGAAAAUUUGUUUCAAAAAAGGAUUAUUUUUAACAAUCAAAACUCAGAAUCGCCACUUGGCAUAAAUCGGGUGUGCCAAGGCACCCAUGGAUAUCCUUUUUCAAAAUGAUUUUGACUCUUUAAUACUGGUUUGCGAACAAAGAUUCCGGCUAGGGAAUUCUGUUGACCGAGGGGAAGGUGUUAGGAGCCCCUCGAUCCCGUGGUUUGACCACGGUCGCUUGGCAGAGCGUAUCGGCUAAAUUGAUAUUACAAAUGCAUAAACCACACAAAGCACGCAAAAACAAUCAGUCAAGCAAACAAAACAAAAUAAUCCAAAAUAUAAUGUCCAGCCCAAUUAUACAGUCCUGAAAAAUGAAAAAUGUGAAAAUGUAAACCUAUUCUAUUCUAAACUAAUCCUAAACUACUCCUAUGCUUUACCCGACGCCCCGGGCCUUCCUCACGAACGUCUUCAGCCAACAUAAUAUGUCGGGGCAUUCCCCGGUGAAUAAACACAAAUCCCUCGGGGCAUUCCCCGACCAUAUAAUACAUUUUAAUUAAAUAAGCUGAUUAACUAAAUAAAAUGUUCAAAACACACAUUUAAACAUUCGAUCAAACACAUCACAUCCAAGAUUUCUGCCUACCCGAACCUAUAUUGCCUAUCCAUUUCAACAGGUCAUAAAUUUAUCACAUUCAUGCUUAUUCCUAAUUAAACAACAAUAAACCAAAGUUAAUCUACAUUCUAAUUUUAUCAAUUUCUAUUUUCCCACCCGAGUUUCCUUUUUAUCAAUCACCACCAAAAUUACUCAAAUUCAUUCCACAUAUCAUCGAAAUCAAAUCGUCUAGCACAUAACCAUAACAUCAACUAGAUCAAACAAUCGUAAUCACUCCACGCAUAAUCACACUCAAUUCAACAAAUCAAGAUAAAGAAAAAAGAAAGCGUUAAGGAAAUGGAUCUCAAUAGAACUUGUUUUUGUUGAUAAUAAAAAAAAAAUCCGAGACCGAAAUCCUCGAACGGAGACCCCAACAACGAGCCGAGCUCCAAAUCAUGAAUGUUGAACCCACUAGAUGGCGAGAUACCCCUAAAGAACGAUAUCGAAUAACCAAUCACGAAACAGACGAACCCAAAGCUCUCUAAAUCCGGUGAAGAACUAAAAAAAAAAACUAUAGGAACUGAACUCCGGUGAGUUGACAGUGAUCAAAACCAAUGAGAAGGGUCAGAUUCCGGCGAACACGUCGUUUUCCCGUCCAAAUCUACUCGGAAAUCUAAGGAAACUGACGAGAUCUCUGGAUUUUUUGGACUAAAACGAGUAGACGACCUGUAAACUAAUUCCGGCGAAUGGUUCGCCGGAAAAACUCAAGAAAACGACAGAUCUCAGACCAGCUUCGCUGUUUCUUGCCGAAUUUCCGUCAAAACACUCUGAUAUCGCUAUUCUUUUCCCAAAUCCCCGUCAAUCACCCUCCAUUAUCUCAUUUUUUUUACUGGGUGUGUAUGUUCGUAUGUUUUUUUAUUGGUGAGAGAACGUGUUUCUGGUGAGAGGGUGUGUUUUCCGGCGUGCUGAGAGUAUGCGAGUGUAUUUUUUGUCGAGAAAAAGAUGAUUGAGAGCUCUCCCUCCUCUCUUUCUCUCUAUUCGUGUAUGUUUUGUAUUGAUAGAAAAAUGGAGAAGAAGCGUGAAUCGUCUAUGUUGUUCUUGUUCCCUAUGUGUGUAUGUAUAUAAUAAAAAAAGAAUCCCCCCUUGAAUUAUGUAUAGGGUGUAUGUAUUUGCCUUUUC
rnacentral:lncRNA from 1 species